AGGAUACGAGCCCGAGGGACGAGCUGCGCGGUGAUUGGCUGCGAAGCUCGCUCAGGUGAGCUGCCAUUGGCAGAGGCGCGCUCAGGUAAGGCCCUUCUCCAAGUGCAGGUAGCUCACGCCGUAGUGUACCUGAGUGGAGCGGCGGCGCGCCCGCAGCGGGGCGGCAGCGCGGGGGGCUGGGGUCGCUGCCCUGAGCAGACCUACGCCACGCUUCCUUCUUGCGGGGCCGGGGGCGGGGGGGCGGGAGGGAAAAAGCAACACGUGCAACCACCAGGGACUGUGGGUCAGGCGGAAGGCCUAAGGACAGCGGAACCAGGUACCCCGAGCCGGCCGGGGUCGAACGCGCGGCCCGACCGCAAGGCUUUGAACACCCACUUUUUGACGUUGUCAGAAGAGCGAGGGCCUGAAGUUUACCUUGUGCUCCGAAGGGUGCCUUGCUCCUGCCUGGUGUACAAGUCUCUCUGCUGUUUCUCUGGCUGGAGGUAAUCAUCUGGCUGCAAGAAAUGGGACAGGAGACCUGAAGAUCUAAUAACUCCAAAUGCCUACAUUCACUCAAGCCCCUGCCUCUCACCUCUUCUCCACUUCUGGGACCCUGAGCCCCUCAUCAGCACCUCCUUCUGAUUUCUGGACCCAGGGCAUUCUGAGGCUUGGUAGCCUAUCGAGCUCUUUUUCUAUUGACCUCUAGGAUGAUAUUAGAUUUUUUUUUUCUUUUUUAAAGAUAGAUUUAUUUAUUUAUUUAUUUAUUUAUUUAUUUAUUUGAGACAGAGAGAGGGCACAAGGGGGGAGGAAGAUCAGAGGGAGAGAGAGAAGCAGACUCCCCACUGAGCAGAAAGCCAGAUGUGGGGCUUGUUCCCAGGACCCUGAGAUGGGGAUCUGAGCUAAAGACAGAUGCUUAACCAACUGAGCCACCCUAGUGCCCCUAAGACAAUAUUCGAAAGUAGCUUUUGCUGCUCUCUUAAACCAGUUUCUACUGGUCCACCCACCCCAUCUUGCAGAAUUGUGUUGAAGUACAUCUUUUGCAGAUGACCCCUCCUUCAUGCCCUUUGUUCCUGUGUAUUUAUUCUUUGUGUUUCAUUACUGUCAUUUUUAGGAGACAAUAAAUAUAAACAAGUGUGAGUCUGUCCA
rnacentral:lncRNA from 1 species